rnacentral:rRNA from 1 species
AUAGGCGUAAGGGUUUGUAGGCAGCUUUAAUAUAAUUAAAGAUAGAAUCAAAUAGAGGACAAGAGAAUUCCUAGAUUAGGGUUGAUAUCUGUAUAAACUAGGAAGAAUUCUAAUUAGCGAAGGCACUUUUCUAUCUAAUGAUUGACGCUGAGAAACGAAGGGGAGGAUCGACAAUAGGAUUAGAGACCCUGGCAUCCCUCUCUGUAAACUAUGAAUGGUAGUUGCUAGUAAUAAUAAUUAGUGACGAGGCUAACGCGUUAACCAUUCCGCCUUGUGAGUACAACUGCAAAGUUGAAAACAAAAAAAUUAGUCGGUUUCGGAGCAAACGAAGUGAAGCAUGUUAUUUAAUUCGAUAAUCCGC